CCUGCGUUGGUUGAACAUGGCUAGAAUUAGGCGCCAAAAACGUCUCACCUGAAAUUGUGGCGUGGGCCGAACCAAGAGCGUUGGAAACAGCAAGUUGCGCCACAGCCGUCGGAGGAGUCGCAACGUGCUCUGAGAUGCGGACAAUAGGCGAUUCCGUAACUGAGGCAGCAGGUCCAGAAGGAGAACUCGAUGGGACUGCGUGGACACCAGGCACUGGAGUUGCUACAGUUUGCAGGCGUCGAGUCACUUCUGCGGUUACGGAGCUGACGAUCUCUUGGAGCUGUUGGGGCGUGAUAGCCGAGGCUGGAGCAAGAGGAGCAGCUGUUGCUGGCCGAGGAGAACUGGACGAAGGAACCGUCGUGGUUGUUCCUGGGGCACAGGGCGCUCGAGCGCGAUGGGAACGGCGUGCUGGUGGUACGGCUACCGAUACUGGUCGCUGAGCACGUUGAUUUCGAGUGGCAGGCAUGGUAAAAUUCCUGAAAAA